AUACGUAGGGUGCGAGCGUUAAUCGGAAUUACUGGGCGUAAAGCGUGCGCAGGCGGUUGUGUAAGACAGGUGUGAAAUCCCCGGGCUUAACCUGGGAACUGCGCUUGUGACUGCACGGCUAGAGUAUGGCAGAGGGGGGUGGAAUUCCACGUGUAGCAGUGAAAUGCGUAGAGAUGUGGAGGAACACCGAUGGCGAAGGCAGCCCCCUGGGCCAAUACUGACGCUCAUGCACGAAAGCGUGGGGAGCAAACAGGAUUAGAAACCCUAGUAGUCC
rnacentral:rRNA from 1 species